AAACAUCGGUAAUCGUACGAUCAGCGAAGUUAAGCAACGUCGAGCAUGGUCAGUACCUAGAUGGGUAACCGCCUGAGAAUACCGGGUGCUGUAAG